rnacentral:rRNA from 1 species
GGCAACCCUGAUGGAGCAACGCCGCGUGCAGGAUGAAGGCUUUCGGGUCGUAAACUGCUUUUCUCUGUGACGAUUAUGACAGUAGCAGAGGAAUAAGGAUCGGCUAACUCCGUGCCAGCAGCCGCGGUCAUACGGAGGAUCCAAGCGUUAUCCGGAAUUACUGGGCGUAAAGAGUUGCGUAGGCGGUUUUGUAAGCAGGGCAUGAAAUAGUGUGGCUCAACCAUACUGCUAUGUUCUGAACUGCAAUGACUAGAGGAUGAGAGAGGUCACUGGAAUUCCAAGUGUAGGAGUGAAAUCCGUAGAUAUUUGGAGGAACACAGAUGGCGUAGGCAGGUGACUGGCUCAUUCCUGACGCUCAGGCACGAAAGCGUGGGUAGCA